rnacentral:rRNA from 1 species
AGUGUUUGAUNAUGGCNCAGAGUGAACGCUGGCGGCGUGCCUAAUACAUGCAAGUCGAACGAUGAAGCUCUAGCUUGCUAGAGUGGAUUAGUGGCGCACGGGUGAGUAAUGCAUAGAUAACAUGCCCUUUAGUCUAGGAUAGCCAUUGGAAACGAUGAUUAAUACUGGAUACUCCUUACGAGGGAAAGUUUUUCGCUAAAGGAUUGGUCUAUGUCCUAUCAGCUUGUUGGUGAGGUAAUGGCUCACCAAGGCUAUGACGGGUAUCCGGCCUGAGAGGGUGAACGGACACACUGGAACUGAGACACGGUCCAGACUCCUACGGGAGGCAGCAGUAGGGAAUAUUGCUCAAUGGGGGAAACCCUGAAGCAGCAACGCCGCGUGGAGGAUGAAGGUUUUCGGAUUGUAAACUCCUUUUGUUAGAGAAGAUAAUGACGGUAUCUAACGAAUAAGCACCGGCUAACUCCGUGCCAGCAGCCGCGGUAAUACGGAGGGUGCAAGCGUUACUCGGAAUCACUGGGCGUAAAGAGCGCGUAGGCGGGAUAGCAAGUCAGAUGUGAAAUCCUAUGGCUUAACCAUAGAACUGCAUUUGAAACUGUUAUUCUAGAGUAUGGGAGAGGUAGGUGGAAUUCUUGGUGUAGGGGUAAAAUCCGUAGAGAUCAAGAGGAAUACUCAUUGCGAAGGCGACCUGCUAGAACAUAACUGACGCUGAUGCGCGAAAGCGUGGGGAGCAAACAGGAUUAGAUACCCUGGUAGUCCACGCCCUAAACGAUGAAUGCUAGUUGUUGUGGAGCUUGUCUCUGCAGUAAUGCAGCUAACGCAUUAAGCAUUCCGCCUGGGGAGUACGGUCGCAAGAUUAAAACUCAAAGGAAUAGACGGGGACCCGCACAAGCGGUGGAGCAUGUGGUUUAAUUCGAAGCUACACGAAGAACCUUACCUAGGCUUGACAUUGAUAGAAUCCGCUAGAGAUAGUGGAGUGCUAGCUUGCUAGAACUUGAAAACAGGUGCUGCACGGCUGUCGUCAGCUCGUGUCGUGAGAUGUUGGGUUAAGUCCCGCAACGAGCGCAACCCUCGUCCUUAGUUGCUAACUAUUCGGUAGAGCACUCUAAGGAGACUGCCUUCGCAAGGAGGAGGAAGGUGAGGAUGACGUCAAGUCAUCAUGGCCCUUACGCCUAGGGCUACACACGUGCUACAAUGGGAAGCACAAAGAGAUGCAAUAUUGUGAAAUGGAGCAAAUCUAUAAAACUUCUCUCAGUUCGGAUUGUAGUCUGCAACUCGACUACAUGAAGCUGGAAUCGCUAGUAAUCGUAAAUCAGCUAUGUUACGGUGAAUACGUUCCCGGGUCUUGUACUCACCGCCCGUCACACCAUGGGAGUUGUAUUCGCCUUAAGUCGGAAUGCCAAACUGGCUACCGCCCACGGCGGAUGCAGCGACUGGGGUGAAGUCGUAACAAGGUAACCGU